GCCCAGCUCCCGCAGGAAAGACCAGGAAAGUCCAGCGCUGCCCCUGUGCAGGGGGACAGAGGGACCUGCAUGAGAGUCAGUUUCGCAUCUGAAAAUGACGGUGUUAAUGCCUCCUUCAUGGUUGUUUUGACACCCAGAUCCAGGUCAUCACUUGUGAAAUACAGAGCAGGUGCCAGGGAGGAAGCACCACGUGGCGGCUGUUCUCUUAGAGGACACGCCACUCCGUUCCCGUCUGUCCUUUUCGUUGUGUGGCCUCCUGCCCCCUCGUAGUCCCCGCAGCGGACCCUGAGCUCAGGCUGGGGGAGCGCUGUGCCCACGCGUGCGCACCGAGGGGAGGGCUGGGGGCUGCACAGACAGGCUUUGCCACAGCACAGCGAGGGGGCAUCUCUGCUGGGGGAGCCUCUCGCCUUCGAUGUGUAAAACACGCCCCACCGGUGAAGCGCAGUGAAGCAAGGUGUGCUCGUCGUGCUGGAACCUCAGGCUUCGUGUAGACGUCACACCUGCCCUCGCCAGCCCGCAGCCCUCACAGGCAGGCACAGCCACCUUCCGGAGGACCAGGGGCAGAAGGGAAAGCGCACAGGUGGGCUGUACCACGUGUGAAAUGGACUCUGGGUUUCCAGUGUCUCUUCCGAUCCCAGGGGCAGGCGGAGGUUUCUGGCCCUUCUGCUCGGUCAGGCUCUUAGGUCUGACAUACAAUGAAUUCUAAGAGUCAGGGCUUUGCCCCUCAGAUGCAUCUUUCUCAGGUCUGUGUUUCAGUUCCCUGGAAACAAGAAACGCCUAUAGGAAGCAGGGCUCUGUGCGCAGUCUCCCCUGGAAGGAGCACCCUCUGACCACAGGCCUCUGGGCGGAGCUUCAGAGCAGAGGCAGAGGAGCCCAGAGAGGAGCAGACCCUGCAUCUGCAAGGUCAGAAGCAGCUCUUGAUGCUCUGGCCAGGAUGGGCCAGUCCUGGUGCUGACACCACCUCCAGAAGCCACCACUCUGUGGCCGGUGGGGGCGGGUGGAGCUAGGUGAGCUGGGUGACCCAGGGGCCAGGGGCUCAGGGAGGGCCAGGUCCUUGGAGAGCUUGUGAGUGAGGCCUGGGGGGCGGGGUAACCAGGCAGCGGGGGGAAGGUCUCCACUUUCCCUAAACAUCCUCCCCCCUUUACAGAUGCUGUGCUGGGGGCACGCUGUCCAUCACCCGGGACACGGCUGACAUCCUGAGCUCACGGGACCCCAGAGUGAGGGACUGGAAGGCUCUUCCAAAGUCAUCAAUUUCUGACUCUUUUGAAGAUUCAUCUUCAAACCUUCAGUGACUGGUCCAGGGAAACUUAGUUUGUGAGUCAGGAGGAAAACAUCGUUCUUCUCUCUCCUACAAAAGGACACGUGCGUUGUUGACAAUGAGUGGAGGAAAGUGUGUGUUCACGAGGCUGCCUCCUCUGAACCUCAGUUCUCCACACUCUCCCAAGAGCCACAGAAAAUGAACGUACCUCAGGUGAGCUCCU